UAAGGGCGCACGGUGGAUGCCUUGGCACUAGAAGCCGAUGAAGGACGUUACUAACGACGAUAUGCUUUGGGGAGCUGUAAGUAAGCUUUGAUCCAGAGAUUUCCGAAUGGGGAAACCCAGCAUGAGUUAUGUCAUGUUAUCGAUAUGUGAAUACAUAGCAUAUCAGAAGGCACACCCGGAGAACUGAAACAUCUUAGUACCCGGAGGAAGAGAAAGAAAAUUCGAUUCCCUUAGUAGCGGCGAGCGAAACGGGAAGAGCCCAAACCAAAAAGCUUGCUUGUUGGGGUUGUAGGACACUCUAUACGGAGUUACAAAGGACGACAUUAGACGAAUCAUCUGGAAAGAUGAAUCAAAGAAGGUAAUAAUCCUGUAGUCGAAAAUGUUGUCUCUCUUGAGUGGAUCCUGAGUACGACGGAGCACGUGAAAUUCCGUCGGAAUCUGGGAGGACCAUCUCCUAAGGCUAAAUACUCUCUAGUGACCGAUAGUGAACCAGUACCGUGAGGGAAAGGUGAAAAGCACCCCGGAAGGAGAGUGAAAUAGAACCUGAAACCGUGUGCUUACAAGUAGUCAGAGCCCGUUAAUGGGUGAUGGCGUGCCUUUUGUAGAAUGAACCGGCGAGUUACGAUUUGAUGCAAGGUUAAGCAGUAAAUGUGGAGCCGUAGCGAAAGCGAGUCUGAAUAGGGCGUUUAGUAUUUGGUCGUAGACCCGAAACCAGGUGAUCUACCCUUGGUCAGGUUGAAGUUCAGGUAACACUGAAUGGAGGACCGAACCGACUUACGUUGAAAAGUGAGCGGAUGAACUGAGGGUAGCGGAGAAAUUCCAAUCGAACCUGGAGAUAGCUGGUUCUCUCCGAAAUAGCUUUAGGGCUAGCCUCAAGUGAUGAUUAUUGGAGGUAGAGCACUGUUUGGACGAGGGGCCCCUCUCGGGUUACCGAAUUCAGACAAACUCCGAAUGCCAAUUAAUUUAACUUGGGAGUCAGAACAUGGGUGAUAAGGUCCGUGUUCGAAAGGGAAACAGCCCAGACCACCAGCUAAGGUCCCAAAAUAUAUGUUAAGUGGAAAAGGAUGUGGCGUUGCCCAGACAACUAGGAUGUUGGCUUAGAAGCAGCCAUCAUUUAAAGAGUGCGUAAUAGCUCACUAGUCGAGUGACACUGCGCCGAAAAUGUACCGGGGCUAAACAUAUUACCGAAGCUGUGGAUUGUCCUUUGGACAAUGGUAGGAGAGCGUUCUAAGGGCGUUGAAGCAUGAUCGUAAGGACAUGUGGAGCGCUUAGAAGUGAGAAUGCCGGUGUGAGUAGCGAAAGACGGGUGAGAAUCCCGUCCACCGAUUGACUAAGGUUUCCAGAGGAAGGCUCGUCCGCUCUGGGUUAGUCGGGUCCUAAGCUGAGGCCGACAGGCGUAGGCGAUGGAUAACAGGUUGAUAUUCCUGUACCACCUAUAAUCGUUUUAAUCGAUGGGGGGACGCAGUAGGAUAGGCGAAGCGUGCG
rnacentral:rRNA from 1 species